rnacentral:rRNA from 1 species
UCGCCAGGAGUAAGUUAGUCAACCUUGAAAUACCACCCUUUAUUUGCUUGAAGUCUAACGCGUUUACGCGAACAGUGCGUGGUGGGUAGUUUGACUGGGGUGGUCGCCUCCAAAAGAGUAACGGAGGCUUCUAAAGGUGUCCUCAGCACGCUUGGUAACCGUGCGUAGAGUGCAAUAGCAUAAGGACGCUUGACUGUGAGACCGACAAGUCGAGCAGGGACGAAAGUCGAGUAUAGUGAUCCGGUGGUUCCGCAUGGAAGGGCCAUCGCUCAAAGGAUAAAAGGUACUCCGGGG